rnacentral:rRNA from 1 species
UACAGAGGGUGCAAGCGUUAAUCGGAAUUACUGGGCGUAAAGGGCGCGUAGGUGGGCAUGUAAGUGAGAUGUGAAAUAUCCGAGCUUAACUUGGAAAGGUCAUCUCAGACUGCACGUCUAGAGUAUGGGAGAGGGAAGUGGAAUUUCUGGUGUAGCGGUGAAAUGCGUAGAUAUCAGAAGGAACAUCCGUGGCGAAGGCGACUUCCUGGCCCAAUACUGACACUGAGGCGCGAAAGCGUGGGGAGCGAAC